rnacentral:rRNA from 1 species
CUUGGUGUCUUUAGAGGGUGGGGUACACCUGUUCCCAUCCCGAACACAGCAGUUAAGCCACCCAUCGCCGAUGGUACUUGAGUCUAAGCUCUGGGAGAGUAGGUCGACGCCAAGA